rnacentral:rRNA from 1 species
UACGGGGGGGGGCAAGCGUUGUUCGGAAUUACUGGGCGUAAAGGGCUCGUAGGUGGCGUCGUAAGUCGGGUGUGAAAUCUCGGGGCUUAACUCCGAAACUGCAUUCGAUACUGCGGUGCUUGAGGACUGGAGAGGAGACUGGAAUUUACGGUGUAGCAGUGAAAUGCGUAGAGAUCGUAAGGAAGACCAGUGGCGAAGGCGGGUCUCUGGACAGUUCCUGACACUGAGGCACGAAGGCCAGGGGAGCAAACGGG